CCGGCACGCCUAACACAUGCAAGUCGAGCGCUUCACUUCGGUGAGGAGCGGCGGACGGGUUAGUAACGCGUGGGAACAUACCCUUUUCUAAGGAAUAGCCACUGGAAACGGUGAGUAAUACCUUAUACGCCCUUCGGGGGAAAGAUUUAUCGGUGAAGGAUUGGCCCGCGUUAGAUUAGUUAGUUGGUGGGGUAACGGCCUACCAAGACGACGAUCUAUAGCUGGUUUGAGAGGAUGAUCAGCAACACUGGGACUGAGACACGGCCCAGACUCCUACGGGAGGCAGCAGUGGGGAAUCUUAGACAAUGGGCGCAAGCCUGAUCUAGCGAUGCCGCGUGAGUGAUGAAGGCCUUAGGGUCGUAAAGCUCUUUCGCCAGGGAUGAUAAUGACAGUACCUGGUAAAGAAACCCCGGCUAACUCCGUGCCAGCGGCCGCGGUAAUACGGAGGGGGUUAGCGUUGUUCGGAAUUACUGGGCGUAAAGCGCGCGUAGGCGGACUAUUAAGUCAGAGGUGAAAUCCCAGGGCUCAACCCUGGAACUGCCUUUGAUACUGGUAGUCUUGAGUUCGAGAGAGGUGAGUGGAAUUCCGAGUGUAGAGGUGAAAUUCGUAGAUAUUCGGAGGAACACCAGUGGCGAAGGCGGCUCACUGGCUCGAUACUGACGCUGAGGUGCGAAAGCGUGGGGAGCAAACA
rnacentral:rRNA from 1 species